GCAGGUCCAUAUGUAAGCAUGUUAAACAGGCUGCUGUACUGGCCGGACUUCUUUGCAGGUCUGGAAGUGAGGAUGGGGCACACUUUGCUCUGCAGGCUGGGCUUCUUCUUGAUUUGCACACUCUGGAGUGGAUAUGCUAAAG